rnacentral:rRNA from 1 species
AAUGAACGCUAGCUACAGGCUUAACACAUGCAAGUCAGGGGCAGCAUGGCUUAGCUGCUAAGACUGAUGGCGACCGGCGCACGGGUGAGUAACGCGUAUCCAACCUGGCCCGCAGUAGGGAACAGCCCGGCGAAAGUCGGAUUAAUGCCCUAUGUCUCCUUUGCAGGCAUCCAAUGAGGAAGAAAGAUUUAUCGCUGCGGGAUGGGGAUGCGUCUGAUUAGCUUGUCGGCGAGGUAACGGCCCACCGAGGCGACGAUCAGUAGGGGUUCUGAGAGGAAGGUCCCCCCACACUGGUACUGAGACACGGACCAGACUCCUACGGGAGGCAGCAGUGAGGAAUAUUGGUCAAUGGGCGAGAGCCUGAACCAGCCAAGUAGCGUGCAGGACGACUGCCCUAUGGGUUGUAAACUGCUUUUAUGCGGGGAUAAACUUCAGCACGUGUGCUGUUUUGCAGGUACCGCAUGAAUAAGGACCGGCUAAUUCCGUGCCAGCAGCUGC